rnacentral:rRNA from 1 species
UGGCGGCGUGCUUACACAUGCAAGUCGAACGAGAAAGAGCCUGCUUGCAGGCUUGAGUAGAGUGGCGCCCGGGUGAGUAACGCGUGGAUAAUCUACCUUCGGAUCUGGGAUAACAUUGCGAAAGCGGUGCUAAUACCGGACAAGAUCGUAAUAUAUGCGUAUAUAACGAUGAAAGGCAGCCAAUCCUUGGAAGCAGUUGUCUGGAGAUGAGUCCGCGUACCAUUAGCUAGUUGGUGGGGUAAAGGCCUACCAAGGCAACGAUGGUUAGCUGGUCUGAGAGGAUGAUCAGCCACACUGGAACUGACACACGGUCCAGACUCCUACGGGAGGCAGCAGUGAGGAAUUUUGCGCAAUGGGGUAACCCCUGACGCAGCAACGCCGCGUGAGUGAUGAAGGCUUUUGGGUCGUAAAGCUCUGUCAAUGGGAAAGAAGUUAUGGUUAGUUAAUAGCUAAUUGUAUUGACGGUACCCAUGAAGGAAGCACCGGCUAACUCCGUGCCAGCAGCCGCGGUAAUACGGGGGGUGCAAGCGUUAUUCGGAAUUAUUGGGCGUAAAGGGCGCGUAGGCGGUAUUAUAGAUCAGAUGUGAAAGUUCAGGGCUCAACUCUGAAAGAGCAUUUGAAACCAUAGUACUUGAGUAUGGGAGAGGGAAGUGGAAUUCCAGGUGUAGAGGUGAAAUUCGUAGAUAUCUGGAGGAACACCGGUGGCGAAGGCGACUUCCUGGACCAAUACUGACGCUGAGGCGCGAAGGCGUGGGUANCGAACAGGAUUAGAUACCCUGGUAGUCCACGCAGUAAACGUUGAUCACUAGGUGUAGCGGGUAUUGACCCCUGCUGUGCCGGAGCAACGCAUUAAGUGAUCCGCCUGGGGAGUACGAUCGCAAGAUUAAAACUCCAAGGAAUUGACGGGGGCCCCACAGCGGUGGAGCAUGUGGUUUAAUUCGACGCAACGCGAAAAACUUACCUGAAUUGACAUUCUUGGGAUAUUANAAAUUAAGUA